rnacentral:hammerhead_ribozyme from 1 species
AUCCAGUUGACGAGUCCAACUUGGGACGAAAUACGCGUCCUGUAU